GAAGUCGAUACCUCCGCUGAAUUUGAAUCCUGCUUCCUGUCGGCGUCAAGUCCGCCCUUCUCUUCCUUUUGGCUUUCCUUUCUUCUCCGUUAUUCAGAUCGGAUAGCUGCCAGCGCCAGCGAUGGCGCUAGCUGACGAGAGGGCCGAGCCGUCUGACGGCGGAAAGAUUUGGAAGCUCUGCCGGAUUCCAUUCUGGCAGGCGGGCGCCUCCUCCUCGUCUUCCGCGGCGGCGGCGGCGAGUCACCGCCACAUCAGCCAUGGUCCCGACGCGCGGGCGGCAGAGAGAUCCGACACGCAGUACCCGACGACCUCCCGCGGCGGGGGCGGGAGAGGAUCGGUCUCGUCGGUGGCCAAGUCGCUGCUGCCCGUCCGGCGCUGCCUCCGUCUCGAUCCCUCGAGCAAGCUCUACUUCCCUUAUGAACCUGGGAAGCAAGUCAAGAGUGCAAUCAGGAUUAAAAAUACAAGCAAAUCACAUGUGGCAUUUAAGUUUCAAACCACCUCGCCAAAGAGCUGUUUCAUGCGCCCUCCUGGAGCAAUACUUUCUCCCGGCGAAAGUAUCGUUGCAACUGUUUUCAAGUUCGUGGAGCGUCCAGAGAACAGUGUAAAAGCACUAGAUCAGAAAACCAAGGUUAAGUUUAAGAUUGUAAGUUUGAAGGUCAAAGAGCAAAUGGAGUAUGUGCCUGAAUUGUUCGAUGAGCAGAAAGAUCAGGUCUAUGUGGAGCAAAUCCUAAGGGUUGUAUUCUUGAAUCCUGAGCGUCCAAGCACUCAAUUGGAUAAAUUGAAACGACUGCUAGCCGAGGCUGAUGCUACAGUUGAGGCUCGAAAGAAACAGCCUGAAGAUACUGGACCAAAAAUUCUGGGUGAAGGGCUUGUUAUUGAUGAAUGGAAAGAGCGCAGGGAAAGGUAUCUAGUUCGACAACAGAUUGAAUUGGUUGAUUCUAUAUAGCGCAGUAUUUUGGUCGUCCACAUCAAUUCAGUAGUCAAUGACGCCUGGAAAAACAUUUACUUUGCUCCAACUCGACUUCCCAGCCUGUUGGAGAGUAGAUGCUUGUGAUUGCUGUACUCAAAUAAGGUCAACAAGAGUUUUUGUGAGGUGAAGAAGAAGAAGAAGAAGAAGAAGAAGAAGAGAGUUAGCUGCCAUGGCAAGCAAUGGAUCUUCUACAUUUUACUUAUUGUCCCUCGUCCUAGCUCUCCUUCUCCUUGUCUCCUCGGCCGAGGCUUUAGCUUUCGGGAUCGGGAGGGCGCCAAUGCCUGCACCUCUAGCUCCGAGGUGCAACGAUGUCUACGGAGCAAAGCAAGGUGACACAUGCUUUGCAGUGGCUCAGAUGUUCAAUUUGACGCCUGCUCAAUUCAGUGCGAUCAACCCUAACCUUGAUUGCGACAAGGUUUUCAUAGGCCAGUGGCUUUGCGUCAAGGGGACUACCGCUUGAUGGGAUCGCCAUGGUCUCCUUCACUUAUACUUGGAUCUGCCUUAUAUAUUGUGCUCGGGCAAAUAAGAUUGUUCUAUGUAUUCUGAUAAGUCGAUCCUUCAGAGUUCAUAUCUUCAAAAUGAAUUGAAUUAAGAGUUAAUUUCACUUCUUUUGCAUUGUGCUUAUCAUUGUUAUUGUUGAAUGAGAAGUUCAACUUAGGAACCAAGUAAGCAACAAUGGAUGAAGUGUAUAAUGCUUUCUCAAGUUUGGCAUGAAGAUAAUUCCAUCCA